GCCAGGCGUUGUUCCAGGUUCCGGAACACUGUUCUAGGUGUAUUUCUUAGUAAGAAGGAACUACUUAUUACUGGGAAUAAGCCCCAUCGACGCAUCCAGACCUUCCAGUUAGCUUUUGAGUGAUCAGUCCAGGAUCAUUAGACAUUAAAGUUUUUAACAAGCUCCAGAUUUAAAAACAAAAACAAAAACUAAGAGGAAAUCUGAGGGGAAAAAAAAAAACUGCAGGGAAUAGAGGAACACUUCAAAGAAGCUGUCAUUGAGAUCUGCAGAGAGUUGGAAAGCUUUUCAUCCGUGAAACGAGAACAGGAGGUUAUAAAAAGAAUAUUUCAGAGAUUUUUAAAGAGCUCUUGGAAAUUAGAAAUUUGAUGGCAGCCAUAAAAAUUCAGUAUACGGUUGGAAGAUAAAAGGAGGAAAUUUCCCAGGAAGUAGAAUUUUUUUUUUAAGAAGAGAGAAAAUAAUUAGAAAUUCAAUCCAUGAAGAUCCCCUUCCAACUAAAUCGAUGUUCCAAAAGAGGAGAGAAAUGAUUUUUUAAUUCCAGAAAACUGUUCAGAACCAAAGAACAUGAGUUUCCAGAUUGAGAAGGUGUAUUGAAAGCCAAGUAAAAUGGAUGAAAAAAAAAUCUCAUAGCAAGAUAUAUAAUGAAAUUUCAUUACAGAGAGAAAGGACAUUACAAAGAACAAGGAGAAAUUUGUAAAAACUUUCAGGUAGAGGGAAAUAAUUAUAUUCAAAACAUCGGGAAUUAGAAUGACAGACAUCUCAGUGACAAUAUUGAACCUGGAAGAGCAAUGCAAUCCAAAUUCUAAGGGAAAAGCAUUUCCAACCUUCACACCCCAUCAAACAUCAAACUUGGAAGAUUGUAAACUAAUUUCCCACAUACUCUUUCUCAGAAACUUCUAGAAGUCAUGUUUUACCAGAAAGAGAACAGAAACAAAGACCGAGGAAGAUGUUGGUCUAGAACACAGGAGAAUGUCACAUGGGAAAGAGGCAAAAUCAGUGCCUAGUAGGAUGAAGAAAGGGGAUUCCAGGAUGAUGGGUGGGUGGCAGGCCUCAAAAGCAGCAAAUUCAGAGGGAGAAGGGGAAGGCUUUGAAAAUUAUAUACACGUACUGUUAUGAUAAGGAAGAAAGGAAAACUCGGGUAAUAAUCAGAUUCCAGAAUGAGAACCCAAGCAGAUUCCAAAAUGAGAACCUACUUCUAGAAGGCAGGCAAAGGAACUUGGUGAAACCUCUGGGAAACAGAAGAGUUGAUGAAGAACACAGGGCCGAGCUCUAGGCAGAGCAGCUGAGAGGAGAACUUAACGUCCCAGGAAACGGGCCAGAAUGGGGUCACUCUUUCCCUUCAAAGGAAACAAUUCCUAAUUGUGACCUGCCUGGAUUUACAGAGAUUAGCAGGAAGGGAGGAUUAAAGGGAGCUGUACAGGCCAAGUGCGGUGUCAGGCAAUUUAUAGAAGCAAGAAGGGUUAUUAUAAAGAGGAUACCGACCAGCUGUUCUUCAUCUUCACAGGAGACAGAAGAGGAGCCCUGUGAAGUGGGAAUAGUUAUUAGCCUUAUUCUAACACAAGGAAACUGAGUCGCAAAAAAGGGAAACUGAGUCACCACAGGUGUAGCAGAGGAAAGGACUGACUUUGCCUUCUGAUCAGAGGCAUACAUUGCUGUCUCUCACAAAGCUGAAGAAUCCAAUCAAGAUCUAAACCUUAUGUAGCUAUAAAAAGCUAGAGAGAGGAAGAAAGAGGAAAUUCCCAGGAGAAGAUCCCCAACCACAUCCAGGGCCAUCAGAUCUCCAUAAAUACAAACCCCAGCAGUGGCACCAAGUGAAGCAUGAGAAGAAACCUCAAGAUUUUAACCCAAGCCACAGAAAUAACUUUGAAUUGUCUUAAAACUAAACAAUGACAAUUCUAUCCAAUAAACUUGCAGCUGACACAUG